rnacentral:rRNA from 1 species
UGGGGAAUAUUGGACGAUGGACCGAGAGUCUGAUCCAGCAAUUCUGUGUGCACGAUGAAGUUUUUCGGAAUGUAAAGUGCUUUCAGUUGGGAAGAAAGAAAUGGCGGUACCAACAGAAGAAGUGACGGCUAAAUACGUGCCAGCAGCCGCGGUAAUACGUAUGUCACGAGCGUUAUCCGGAUUUAUUGGGCGUAAAGCGCGUCUAGGUGGUUAUGUAAGUCUGAUGUGAAAAUGCAGGGCUCAACUCUGUAUUGCGUUGGAAACUGUAUAACUAGAGUACUGGAGAGGUAAGCGGAACUACAAGUGUAGAGGUGAAAUUCGUAGAUAUUUGUAGGAAUGCCGAUGAGGAAGCCAGCUUACUGGACAGAUACUGACGCUAAAGCGCGAAAGCGUGGGUAGCAAACAGGAUUAGAUACCCUGGUAGUCCACGCUGUAAACGAUGAUUACUAGGUGUUGGGGGUCGAACCUCAGCGCCCAAGCAAACGCGAUAAGUAAUCCGCCUGGGGAGUACGUACGCAAGUAUG